UUGAGAUUAGAUUUUAGGAAAAUGUGUUGAUGAAGAAAUUAAUGAGUCAGCUUGGACAGACAUUGUACUACCUCACGAUCAUGGCAUCUUUUUAAUUUCUUCUUGUUUUUCCCUACGUUUUUUCUUUUAAAAUCCUAAACAUGGCUGGCAUCUGAUCUUAAAUUAGUCAAUUGCUAGGUCUUCAUUUUUUAUUCAUACAAAAUAAAUUUUCUAUCUUAUCUACCAAACUAAAGGUAGCCUUUUAUAUUUAAUUUGAUACCACUACUCGAUGUUGGCCUGCUCGAUCUGACUGUACGUGCGUGUUAGCAACUGAAGAAAUUUCGAACCACAUGCACACACUAAUUACACAUGAUGCACUUGAAUGGUAGUCUAUAAAUAGGAGUGUAGAUAGGAGGAAAAUGGCCACUCAGCACAAAUCAUUAAUCAGCAAUCAACAAAAUGAAGGCUAUUAUUCUUAUUUUCAUUCUCUUUGCUUCCCUGCUUAUCUUAUCUCCUACAAUUGCAGCUCGCGAACUGGCUGAAAGUGUUAAUGCAGGUUCUGGUGGCCGAACCGGGGAUCCCGACAAGCCUACACCAUGCGGAAAGCCUAACAAUCCCGCAUAUGCCAAAUGCAUGGGGUCGAAGUCGAAACCGAAACCGAAGCCCACCAAAUGUAAUACGGGUCCAUACAAGAGGUGCCAACCACCGAAAUGAACUUGAAUAUGUACUUACUUGUGACUUGUCAUGGCGUUUCUCAUGAGAAUUAGAAAGUAUGUACCACGUAUGGUAGUUGAGAAUAAAAAUAGAGUUUGGUUUGAUAUCAUAAGAAUUAAAGCUGUUUGAGCUCGCUCCAACUCUGCAGUGUGGAGAUAUGUAAAAUCAUGUUACUGUAUUAUAUUUCUCGUUUUGAUAUGAUGUACGUGUGCCAAUAAUAAAAGAGCUUACUUAA